GGAAGAGAAGCAGCUGACAUCUGCCUAACCAGAAAAAGGAUCCAAAAACCAGGAAGAGAAGUAGCUGACUACAGUAGCAUGCCAAGCUGCCACCACAUCCUGCAGGACGAGAAUCUUGAUAUCAUCACCCCCUGCAGCUGCCUGGAGCCAGUGGAGGGACCUCAACAGGGGGAAGAAGUAACCACCCUACGAACAUUCUACAAGGGUUCUAUUUAACACCCUCAUUUAUCUUACAAGGGUUAUAUUUAACACCUUCCAUUUAUUUUAUCUGGGUUCUAUUUCACACCCUCAUUUAUUUUACAAGGGUUAUAUUUUAUACCCACUACUCAUUUUAUAUUAUUACUCAUUUACCUGUUUAGUAUUAGAUAUAUGUUUACGCUCAUUGCAUUUCUAAAACUGAAUGUACAGAUUGAUCACCAUUGCCAUCUCUCCUCCACCUGCUGACCCAAUUAUCCAGAUGCCCUUGUUACUAGCCAAUCCUAACAUCUAUUUGGGAGGGGAACCCUCUGAUGAUAGUGAUGACUCUCAUGAUGAAGAAGAUGAUGUUAGAGUGUGAGAAUGUUCAGUGAUUUAUGUAACAAUCCUUUCACCUGUUCAUUUCUAUGAGUUUUUGAUUGUGUUUUUAUUUUUAUUUUUUUUGAUCAUUGAUUACCUAGGCAUGCCCACUCUGUGCCAAAAGGCGUUCGUCCCAAAAUGGGAGGACAUGGGGGAAUUUUCCCUAUUAACGUACGAUAUUUAGGGUUUUUCGCCCUCAUACGGGUGAGCAUGCGAUCCAUUCAUGUUGUAACAUGUUCAGUUACAUAUAUGAUCAUGUUUUUUGUAUUAGUUUACUGCUAGAAAUAUGAGAAGCUGUAAUCUGAUUGAUUGUUUGUAUUGGUAUUUUAAAACUUUGCUUAUUAGAUUCUUUUUGAUGAAAUUUGGUGUUGUUGUUUUGAUUUCCUACAUCUUUGUUGAACUCUUAAAAGAGUUCAAAAGGGGGAUUGAAAAUAUAUGUAUCUACCUUAUAAGCUUCUUUUAUAUAUUUACCUUAUAAGCUCAUUUGUAUUACUCUAUGCUAUGGACACUUGCUCAGAUACUCAAGGCCUCUACACAAAGAUUUACAGCAGCAUGUUCUGUUCUGCAACCUUGAAGGGAGUGAGCACAUUCCAGCUCCUCUCAAUUUCCUCUCGGUACCGGUGAAAUGUAUCUUCAUGUAUCAGGAUGUUCCUAGUAAUCUCAAGGAUGCAUGUUCUCGUGAUGAAUUAACUGUCCACUAACAAGGCUGUUAUUUUUUACCUGUCAUGACCAAUGACGUAUGUACAUGGCAAACUGCGUAUGUAACAUUCCUGUAAUCUUCAAUAAAAAUCAGCCGUUUUCAGCAGAACGGAGAGAGUGUCUGAAGCAACUGUCAGGAGCAGAUCGCGGGACCUGCUGAAGUUGCAAAGCUCUCUCCCCUCUCGAGCGGUGAAACAGUGA